UGCUGACUGUCUCUCUAUUAGCACUAUCCAAAGUUAAGGUUACAUACCAACCAGUCUGAUGAUAGUGCUUGUUAAAUGAUGUGGUUUGACACAUGAGUUUUUCGUACUAUGUAUGGACAUUCUGAUGGCAAUGCAAUUAUCAGCAUUCAGCCCGUGACCAACAAGCAGCAUUCCAAUAACACCUCCUUUUUUUCAUGAUCUACAUACUGUUCAAUGUAUGGGAUCACACAAUACAGGCCACAAGCAUUAGACGUCACAAGGGCAGAAUAAUGUACCCCUAAUAACUACUGCAGUAAAAUGUCCUAUAGCUAGAAAACAAAUGCAUCAAGCAUCUCUGUCUCAGACAACUUUGCACUAAUCGUUGUGUUAUCAGGGGCAGUACUGAGUAUAUGAUUAUUAGGCACACUUGCAAAGUACAAACUUCAAAAGACGGUAAGUGCUCUGGAAUGCAUUGCAAUUUUGUGUGGCAGUAGGCAAUAUUUACAUAUGGAGGUACGUUAUUUGCAGCAUUCUACAGCUUCUUUUGUGUAGUCUGGCAACAAUUAUAGUCACCUUUCUUUGUGGUAAGCAUGUAAACCUGCGCCAUUCCACAGUGGCAACCAAUCUUUUAUGACCCAUAAAAAAAUGCAUCAACUUGUAACAGGUACUGUUUGUAAUAAGAUGAAGAAGCGGGCACUCUCUACAAGGCAACUUUGUUUAGUUGUAUCACCCUGCAGAGGGAGAACUUGACAAUGUCAAAAUUUGGGCUGUAUCCAGUGAACAGCUACACAAAUGCAUAAACUAAACUGCUGAGCCCAACGCACAGUUACUCACCCGAUUAGUGCUGUCGGAAAGCACAAGAUUCUUCAACAUUUAACAAGCUAUGUCAACAAAUAGUCAACUAGCACACUGUUACUGUGUAUAUAUGUAGAGGGUCACAUCUUUCUUUCAGUGUAGCGAAUGACUUGACAAGCAGCACAAGAGAAAGACCAAUCAAGAAAUUUUUCGAACCUUGUGUCACUCAGUCACAUCUUCCACCGCUGUCACACUCUCCUCCACCGCACCCACCUCCAGUGUCGC
rnacentral:lncRNA from 1 species